GGAGCUAUGGCCCAAUGGAUAAGGCGUCUGACUACGAAUCAGGAGAUUCCAGGUUCGACCCCUGGUAGCUUCG